GAUGAACGCUGGCGGCGUGCCUAAUACAUGCAAGUCGAGCGAACAGACGAGGAGCUUGCUCCUCUGACGUUAGCGGCGGACGGGUGAGUAACACGUGGAUAACCUACCUAUAAGACUGGGAUAACUUCGGGAAACCGGAGCUAAUACCGGAUAAUAUAUUGAACCGCAUGGUUCAAUAGUGAAAGACGGUUUUGCUGUAACUUAUAGAUGGAUCCGCGCCGCAUUAGCUAGUUGGUAAGGUAACGGCUUACCAAGGCAACGAUGCGUAGCCGACCUGAGAGGGUGCUCGGCCACACUGGAUCUGAGACACGGCCCAGACUCCUACGGGAGGCAGCAGUAGGGAAUCUUCCGAAAUGGGCGAAAGCCUGACGGAGCAACGCCGCGUGAGUGAUGAAGGUCUUCGGAUCGUAAAACUCUGUUAUUAGGGAAGAACAAAUGUGUAAGUAACUAUGCACGUCUUGACGGUACCUAAUCAGAAAGCCACGGCUAACUACGU
rnacentral:rRNA from 1 species